rnacentral:tRNA from 1 species
GGGUGAUUAGCUCAGCUGGGAGAGCACCUCCCUUACAAGGAGGGGUCGGCGGUUCGAUUCCCGUCAUCACCCACCA